CGCACAUUGCGCCCGCCAGUAUUCUGGCGGGCAUGCCUGUCCGAGCGUCAUUACAACCCUCAGGCCCCCGGGCCUGGUGUUGGGGAUCGGCGGAGCCCUCCGGGGCACACGCCGUCCCCCAAAUUCAGUGGCGGUCUCGCUGCAGCCUCCAUUGCGUAGUAGCUAACACCUCGCAACUGGAAGGCGGCGCGGCCACGCCGUAAAACCCCCAACUUCUGAAUGUUGACCUCGGAUCAGGUAGGAAUACCCGCUGAACUUAA
rnacentral:misc_RNA from 1 species